UACGUAGGUGGCAAGCGUUGUCCGGAUUUACUGGGCGUAAAGAGCGCGCAGGCGGUCGUUCAAGUCGCGUGUGAAAGCCCCCGGCUCAACUCGGAGACGCCACUCGAUACUGCUAUGACUUGAGUCCGGUAGGGAGUGCGGAAUUCCUGGUGUAGCGGUGAAAUGCGCAGAUAUCAGGAGGAACACCGGUGGCGAAGGCGGCACUCUGGGCCGGUACUGACGCUGAGGAGCGAAAGCGUGGGGAGCGAACAGG
rnacentral:rRNA from 1 species